GCCAAAGGAGGCACCGCUACAUAAAAGCUAUUCUGUAUGCUAGUUUGUGUGGGGGCUAUUUGAAAUAAAUUGAGUUCUGAUUUGGCACAUUCUACAGAGCCACAAUGAAUGAAAGCCAUUUAAAAAUAUAUCCUUUUCCUAAGGGCAACGCUCUGCUUCCUUUUCUUAGAGCGCCUUUUAGGUUUAUGGUGGAGGCAUCUUCUGGCAGCUUUUUUUUUUUUUUUUUUUUUUAAAGGGCCUAGGAGGCCGCUCCUAAACUCAAACUCCCACCCAAAGCCACACCCCUCACCCUCUCCUGUACCCCAACUCUCUGCCCCAGCUUGGAGCCCCCUCCUGCACCCAAACUCCCUCCCAGAAAGAAACUAAUAAAACAGCUAUUCUAAGGCAAGAAAUAGGCUAUUUUGAAUUAACUUAACUAUAUAUUCUACACGUUUUAAGACUAAAACGUAACCAAAGAAAAGCUUUAUGUUAAUUAAAAGGCAAAUUUAGUACAGCGUUAA